GCCCCCGUGGCUCAGUUGGAUAGAGCGUCUGGUUGCGGACCAGAAGGUCGCAGGUUCGAGUCCUGCCGGGGGUACCA
rnacentral:tRNA from 1 species